CCUGUCAGGGCAGCAGUAGGGAAAUCACUGGGAACAAUUGAAACUGAGGAGUGAGAGAGGUCAGAGCCAGACAUCUUUCCAAAGAUCGGAGUUUGGCCGACAGAUGCUGAGGGUUACCAUGGAGACAUGCAAACAAGGAGGAGGCAUCACUUUGAGAGUUUCUCCUUUGAAACAGGGCAAAUAUGAAUGAAACUUUCCUUUUGUUUGCAUUGACAGUCCUCGUGUGAUGAACGCAACUCUUCGCCCCCCUCCUGCGGCCGUCCCGGCCGGCUGUAACCUCACCAACCCUGACCUUUGCAGGAACAGAUCCAUGUCCCGCUCAGCGGAGCUGCAGGCCCGGCUUUGUUUCCUUUUUCGCUCUCAGUCUCCAUCUAGAGCAAAUACAAUUAUCUUAUAAUGGGAUCCCCUUUGAUAAGAAGCCGUCUUCUGUCAUUCUGUUGGAGGUGCCAGAGUGUUGGAUGGUAUUCAGAGUGGGCCUCACGCCGCCGCCGCCGCCAUCCAGCGCCAGCAUGGGACCUGAAAUGGAUUUGAUUAGGAUUCAAGAAUGCGCCUUUGAUCUUCCGUUUGUUAAGCAAAUGCAGCCGCAUGACAGUCUGCGGCGAGGACGCGGUUCUGCUGGCGUUCACACAAUAAUGGACGGCCUAAUCGCACUGUAAUGCAGAGCGUGCACAACUGCUAAUUAGUGAGCUGCAGCGAGCCGGAAACGCUUCAUUUGCAUGGAGUCCCGACAGGUUAGAGAGGCGGGUCCGGCUGUCUGUCAGCGCUCAGGUACGCUACCUGCUGUCCAGGCUCCUGCUUUCAGCUGCCGUCGACUAAACGGAGGAAGAUCUUCACACUUCAACACAAAAGAGCGCCGAACAAAAGAGGAAUCUCUGCAGCUCGUCUGCUUUCAUUAAGGAGCUGCUCCUCUCUAAAGAGAACCGAGCCUGCAGCCGCUCUCA